UCACUGAAUCUCCCUGGAAUCCUCACAAGUUCUGACGGUGGAUCCUAUCUUUCUUUUGCUACCAUAGCUCAUUUCAAACUCAAGCCUGCACAACCAAGCUUAAGAUCACACAAGGCAAACAUCUGGCCAUCCUGGGUAGCAGGGAAGAAAGUUCACAAAACUCCAUCUGGGCCCAAUCCAGUAGGCAAUCACAACCCACCAACUAAGCAAUGAGUCAAUGGAUUCACUUCUUCAGCACUAGUAGACAGAGAUGGACAGUAGGUCAGAUGUAUUCAUUUAGGUUGGAAAACCCUGAUCCCUGAGGUUUUGUGCUUGUACAAAAAUGAAGUUUAUUUUAACAUUUGAACAUCUGAGACCAAUAUCGUUUAAAAAUGCAUGAUUAUUAUCUCUAUGUA